CAGAAUAAUAAAUAGAAACUUUGAAUAAUACAUACAAACUCUGAAUAAUAAACACAAACUCUAUUGGAAUAAAUAUAAACUCUACGAAAUAAACACAAACUCUGAGGCGAUAAAUACAAACUGCCCAGAAUAAACACAAACUCGGGGUCGAUCUAAAGGUCCAUCCAAGAUAAACAACAAAGGGAUAGGAUACACAUAAGUCCAUGCAAAUCAUUUCAAAAUAAAUACAAACUUCAAAUAAUAAUACAAAUAGGCUCAGGAUAAACACAAAUUUUGAUUUGAGAUUUGAGAUGUG
rnacentral:lncRNA from 1 species